AGGGUUGUAGUUAAAAAUAACAUUUGAUUAGCAUUCAAAAGGUACUAGUAGUAGUCUGCCUUA
rnacentral:tRNA from 1 species